rnacentral:rRNA from 1 species
UACGUAGGGGGCUAGCGUUGUCCGGAAUCAUUGGGCGUAAAGCGCGCGUAGGCGGUCAGGUAAGUCCGGUGUGAAAGUCAAAGGCUCAACCUUUGAAUGCCGCUGGAAACUGCCUGACUUGAGUCCGGUAGGGGCGAGUGGAAUUCCUGGUGUAGCGGUGAAAUGCGCAGAUAUCAGGAGGAACACCAUGGCGAAGGCAGCUCGCUGGAACGGUACUGACGCUGAGGCGCGAAAGCUAGGGGAGCAAACGGG